rnacentral:rRNA from 1 species
CCGGCUCGUCCCUUUUUCAUGUUUUUUUCUUGUUCCUGCUUUCCGUCCUUGUAGGGUUAAGCUAUCUUUUUUCUCGAGGGUAAUAUGAGGGGGUUUCCCCCCUCUUUGCGAAGGCAUUUUGAUGGUUUUUUUCCCCUAAAUUUUAACCCAAAGGACUUGGCGGUGCACUAAUCCCCCCAGGGGAACCUGGCCCUUAAUUCGAUGAUCCACGAACCUCUUACCUUUUCUAGUUUUGCUUAUCUUUGCAAGAAGUAAACAAAGAUCAGCUCGCAUACCGCCGUUUCGUAGCUUGUAUCGUGAGAGGACAUAAACAGGCGCCCUAGUGGCCCGUAUAAAAAUAAAUAAGGGUUUCUCUAAUAAUUCAGGUAAACGUGUGGCCUAUAGAAAGGGGGUGCUGGGUUACAAUUGGGGUUUAUAAUGGCGUGGCUGCCUUAAGGGCAAGACAAAAGAGGACUUGGAAGUAAUAGCCUUGGACAAUGAGGCUGUGAAUACUGCUCUAGUGUGUGUACAAAUCGCCCGUCACUCUCUGA